rnacentral:rRNA from 1 species
UACAGAGGUCCCGAGCGUUUGUUCGGAUUCACUGGGCGUAAAGGGUGCGUAGGUGGUGGGGUAAGUCGGAUGUGAAAUCUCGGAGCUCAACUCCGAAAUGGCAUUGGAAACUACCCUGCUGGAGGUUUGGAGGGGGGACUGGAAUACUUGGUGUAGCAGUGAAAUGCGUAGAUAUCAAGUGGAACACCAGUGGCGAAGGCGAGUCCCUGGACAAAACCUGACACUGAGGCACGAAAGCUAGGGGAGCAAACAGG